UCUGUUUAAAUGUAGACAGUUACUGAGAAAAAGUGUUCUUAUGUCACCUUCUUGGUUGCACUUAAGAAUUUUUAAAGAUAGAGUUCCCAACAUUUUCUGUUUUCCUAAUCUGAAUUGAUAAAUCUGAUCAGUAAUAUAUAGCUGUACUAAAAAAUAAUAAUGGAUAAGUACUUACCACUUUUCAAAACCGACAGAAACAAAUAUUUCCAUCAAUGGAUCCCAAAACAUGAUAUGAGCAAGUAUAAAGUUGGCAUUGCGCUGCUCACUUUGUCAGCUUUUUCGCUUUUUGUGGGAAAUCUUCACCUAUUGCUCGAAAUCCAAAUGCAAAAAUCAAAUACUGAUGGUAAAGUCGAACAAAUGCUGAACAGUACAAUAAUUGUGCCUUGCAAUGAUAGUAAACUAUAUAUGUGUAUGAAAGAAACGGUUCCUGCUGUUACUUUGUUAAUGCAGUUGAUGUCGUUCGAAUUCCAUAGGAACAAUUCCACCAUGGAGAAAUCUGAUAGAAGUGGAACUUGCUACCUAAAUCCUAGAUCCUUAAAAGGUGACCAUUUAAGAUGGAAAAGCAAUACCGGAGAUAUCAUCUGUGACCAAACUGAUGGAUUACGUAUUCCUUCUUCAGGAAUAAUGUUAAUAUUCAACUUAUUACAAAUGAAAUCUAACCACAGAACGUCUGACGGUUUUAUAUUGCACACAAUAAAAAGUGGAUACACAACUCUAUUUACCAAGGGUGUGAAUUUUAAGCACAACCAGAAAGAAGUUUUUGAGAGUAGUUAUUUUUUCAUGGCUGUGAGACUUAAGAAAGACCAGACUAUUGAAGCUUCGUUGUCAGAUAUGUCACUUGUAUAUCCAAUGAAAAAAACAAACGUGUUUGGAUUUUACGGCAUAAGUUAAAAAACUUUUGGAAUAUCAGCUGUUAACCUUAAACGAUCAUCAUCAGUGGAAAGCAUAGCAGCACGAUUGGUUUAUGGAACAGAGUUUUAAUGGAUUCGUAAACCAAUUAUAUUAUGCAUGGAUAUGGAAGGGGAAUUGAUGCAAUUUGCGGACAUGGGCUUCAUCAAAUCAGUAAAAGAUUAUUGUCAUUAUUAAAACGUAUACAUCUUGGCGAUUAUUUUGUCAAAAACAACAUACCCGACAUUACUAGAAGUGACUUCGUGUACACAUAUAUGUGUGUAUAUAUUAUAUGCAAUUUAGUUUGUUAAGAAUUAAGUUAGGUAGUGUGAGAGUAUACGAAUUGUGACCACGAUCUUAAUUGGACAAAUAUUGCCAAGCUCAAGUAGGAACUACCUCAGAUAUAAAAAUGGCUUUUUAAACUUUAAUAUUUUCGAUUUACCCCAAAAAGUUUAAUAAAUUGACUUCUCAGGAAAGAUAACUCGGACAGUCUACCUCCAAAAAGAUUGUACUGUUAUUUUAAUUUUUUUCAAAUGGAGCAAUGAACCACUUUUUUCUAUUGCUAUUAUCAAAAAUUAAUUAUAAAAUUUGUGUUCUCAUGUAUUACUUAAAAAAUAUAUGAUCUUGUAUUUGUUCUGUUUACAUAUAUUUUUUUGAAUAAUCCUUAUAGAAUGAAUAAACUGCGUCCUUAAAACUUUGUGAUUUCUUUAUUAAAGUAAUUGAAAAGCAAGUACUGAUAUACAUUUCAUUUUGACAAUAUAUAAAAAAGGAUUAUGUUCUUUUUGUUUAUAGUCCGAUACAACAAGAAUACCUAUUUAAUUAAGAUAUUUGUAUGAUUUAGGCAGCAUUCUUAAAGGUUUGACUUCUCCUUAUUGUUAUUUUUGUGUUCUAAUAAAUCUUUUUUGAUAUA